CACGUAGGCGGAUUGCUAAGUCAGGGGUGAAAUCCUGGAGCUCAACUCCAGAACUGCCUUUGAUACUGGCGAUCUCGAGUCCGGGAGAGGUGGGUGGAACUGCGAGUGUAGAGGUGAAAUUCGUAGAUAUUCGCAAGAACACCAGUGGCGAAGGCGGCUCACUGGCCCGGUACUGACGCUGAGGUGCGAAAGCGUGGGAACGCAAACA
rnacentral:rRNA from 1 species